GCAUAUUAGUUGCAAUAAGAACACUAGAACCAUAAGCGUGGAAGAAACAAAAUAAAGUGCAUAUGUAUAAAAACAUGUUGUUUUUGAAGCUAUAAAUCAAAUAGAGGGCAUAUCAGAUAAGGAUGAGAUAAAAUAGAGCAGUAGUAUGUAGGUAAGUAGUAUGCAGAGAAGUGAGAAGUAGUAUGCCGACCAAAGCAAGUAGAAAUGUAUAGAGCAGUAGAACAGUAGAGCAGCCCAAAAUCACUCAGUCUUGGCUUUUAGCCGACUGAGUAAUCAGUAGUCAACAUGGAAAGUGAGAGAGGUUGUGUAGAAACAAGAGAGAACACUGAGUAUGUUUUGUGUGUAAGAGAGAGUUCAGAACAAUGAAAUUUUUUUCCCCUUUUUUCGUCCCUAUGCUAAAGAGAGGGCAAGGUAUUUAUAGUUUAUAAUAUAAGUGAAAAUAAGGUAAUACAUAUAGGCAAAUUAUAAAUAGAAAGAUCAC
rnacentral:lncRNA from 1 species